GCCGGCUUCGGCCCGUCGGCGCCGGGGACGGCGGAGCCGGCGGCCAUGCACGCCGCCGGUAGCGGCGUGCGGAGCGUUCGGGCCGCUCAGGCCGGCGC
rnacentral:tRNA from 1 species